rnacentral:rRNA from 1 species
UACGGAGGGUGCAAGCGUUAUCCGGAUUCACUGGGUUUAAAGGGUGCGUAGGUGGGCAGGUAAGUCAGUGGUGAAAUCUCCGGGCUUAACCCGGAACUGCCGUUGAUACUAUCUGUCUUGAAUAUAGUGGAGGUGAGCGGAAUAUGUCAUGUAGCGGUGAAAUGCUUAGAUAUGACAUAGAACAUCGAUUGCGAAGGCAGCUCGCUACGCUAUUAUUGACACUGAGGCACGAAAGCGUGGGAUCGAACAAGG